CGUGUUUAAAAAGUUAUAUUUGUUUUUUUGGAAUGUUUCAUCUUAUCCCUUAAUAACUUUUGGAAUGCAGUAACAUAUGAUUCCGUUGCUGCGGCGUAUUUAGUCAUUCCAUUGGACAAUCAAUCAAUCAUUCAGUCAAGCUGUCUGUCAAACAGUCACUCCCUCAGGCAGACACACCCACCUGAACUCCAUUCUUUUCUCCGCUCGCAACUAUAUUUUCUUUUGUAAUCAGGUUGCUAGUGCAGUCAAUAGAAAGUUUUUGUACGAAGAUAAGAUGAAUUUAUGGAUAGAAAUGAUAGGAAAGUAAAUGAAUGUAAGUUUCAUACAGGGACUGCUGCGUGGAGUCUUGCUGGCAUCUUACAACUUUUCUUAUGGUCUUUUCUUCCUCUAUAGAGCAUUAAUAUUUUCUUCUACGCUAUAGUAUUCGAUUAAGUAAAGUUUUGAGAGCCCAAGGUAAUGCUGGACACGGUUUGAUAAUUUGUAAGGAACGCUUGGAGUAAAAAGUCGCGUUUCUUCGCUAUACACAAAGCGAGUCACCUUGUCCCACUCCUCCCUGUUUAGCGGUGAGGACUUGUCUUCUAUAAAAAUCUGACGCCGGAUUUUCUUCUCUUUCGGAACUUAUCGAAAACUCGCAACCCGGAAGACUGUGCCGUAAAGUUUUAUGGAGGGAGUUCGCUGGUCCGUCCGAUGGGUGGAGGAGGAAGAGAUGGCGGGGCUCGAACCUAGGAGAGUGCACGAACUGCACCGCCACCACUCCUAAAGAUCCAUCAACAGGCUCAUAAAUCACAGUCGUGUCCAACAUUCAGGGACGCAAGAUUUUAGAACAAGGAAACUGACCGCCACUACCACCAAGACUUAGGAAUUUCAAGCAAACCGCAGGUUGCCAAAUGCUGGUUUGUGCGGCCCAACUUUGGCACUGAGGCCGCUUGUUGCUGAAUUACGAACAGUCCCCUGAGCUCUCAUUCCAGACAUGAAUCACGACAUGGAUGCAAGUAUACGUGGUUCAUGGCGGGUCUUUGGAAUUCCUGGCGUUUCAUGGUGGAGGGGCAGGAAACUAAACAGAGCGAAGGCGAGUGGGUGAGUCAGUGCCUGCCGCUUUUCUUUCAUCCCGUUUUCUCCCGCGUCAGAACAUCCUCAACAGGUCCACGUGCUUCAUAAAACACGCAGGGCCGGGCGAAGGGCGGCUGCUCUGUGAAGGAGGGAGCGCCAGAGGUCACAACUCCCGAGCAUAAAGGCUGAUUAAGCGGCCUCACACAACACUUCCUCCUACACCUCCCACGCGCCUUAUCACGCCUCCUCGCCUUUCAUCUCCAGCCACGCCCCCUUCUCGCCGUACCCACGUCCUCCCACGCACGCCACUAUCUCCCAUACCUCCUUCCUUCCCUCCCACGUCAUUUGUCUCCCCGAUAAGAGGAAAAGUAAUGGGUAAACAGGAUACCUAGCUAUGUAAUUUUAGUGGUUGAGACUCGAUCAUCUACAGAAAGGUCCCGGCCUCUCGUGUCCCUUGCCGCCUUGCUUCCCAGAGGUAUUUGAAAAGGGUGGGGGGGGUUGAAGGGGAAUGGUGGGGAAUGGAGGGGCUUGUUAGCGGCCGUCACACCUGUCCGCCGCCCCUACCUGUGUAGAAUAGAACCCAAAUUGCUCGUAACUCUCCAAUAAAGUCCUAAUAAAGGUUCAGAUCCCAUCGAGAGUAUUAGUUUAUGUACCUGGGAUUGCUACAGAGGGUGGUGGUGGUGGU